rnacentral:rRNA from 1 species
AUACGUAGGUGGCGAGCGUUGUCCGGAAUUACUGGGUGUAAAGGGUGCGUAGGCGGAUUUGCAAGUCAGGUGUGAAAACUAUCGGCUUAACCGGUAGCCUGCACUUGAAACUGUAAGUCUUGAGUGGUGAAGAGGUAAGCGGAAUUCCUAGUGUAGCGGUGAAAUGCGUAGAUAUUAGGAGGAACACCAGUGGCGAAGGCGGCUUACGUGGGCACUAACUGACGCUGAGGCAACGAAAGCAGUGGGGAGC